rnacentral:lncRNA from 1 species
CACACGUAUGCCUCCUGGCGCAGCAUCCACCACUGCUUCCUACACCUAAGCUGCUGAAGUCCUGACACUGAAUUGCUGCUUCUGUCAUAGACAAUUGCCAAGCACAGAGCCAGCCCACAGCUCCCUGAGUGAGCUGUUCGUUUGGAUUAAAAAGCAAGGGAAGAAUAAAACAGAAGGCCCUAGAGAAGCAGAGCUGCUGCAGCAUAUGAGAGCAACCAGCCCUGUAGUGGAAACCAGACCCGUUAUGCAACACUUGCACAGAAGUCUGUUAAGAGAAGCAGGAGCAGACAGCACCCAGCAAGUUUCAGAGGAGACAGAAAGGGCCCAGUCCUGCUCCGUCCCUGCAGCCGGAGGCACCAGCUCACCUGUUGGUUCUCAGCUCAGCAUCAUCACCAGCUACAGCCAUCUCCAGUCCGGCUGACCAACCACAGCAACAGUGACAAAAAGUACUUUUGAAGUAAUUUAAAUACAAUUAAAGUCCUACCAGGAAGAGCGACUGAAAAUAACUUUAAUUAAUUUAAAUUAAAUAUUCAUUCUGUGACACAUCCACUGGAACUGUCGAUGUGGUGACAGUCACUGUUUUGGAUCCAAUUUUCCUCUCCUAAUAUUUUCAGCAGUAAAUCAACUUCUUGCCAAAGAAGGAAACAGGAUCUGGUUUUGUACACUGUGAUAAAAAAUAUUUUACAAGGUGACUGCACAGUUCUACAUCCUUAUUCCUGUUUUCUCAUCUCUCCUGAUUCAACACUUUGGCAGCACCAAAUCUACCAGCAAAUGGCAACACCUCCAGGCCCCAAAAACAAAACCAAGGUACACAACUAUUUGCGUCCUAAUUGAGGGGCUUAUCCUCACCUGAUUAAAGUGGGGUGUUUGUUAAACAUCUUACUUGAGUUAAGAUCUGUAAAUAAGGAUGAAGAAUUGUUUUAAGAAUUGGGCUGCCAUGAACAAUUGUUUUUUGAUGAGACCUUGUAAAAACAGCUCCAGUCAAGAUGGUCUUUCUGGCUUUUCGUUAGAAAAGUGAAGGAAAGUUUUGCUCACUUCUACCUUUUCCUGUUUGGUGUAACAAUUUUCUGUCCUGUGUAGUGCAAUGUGGAAUGUAAUGAAAAGAACUCGAUUGUUAGUACAGCAAUAUCACUGUUGCUGUGAAUAAUACAUGUGCUUGCAGUAGCGAUUCAUCAGAAAGGGCCGUACAAAUUUUCCCACUUAAUCUAGAAAAUGAGCCCUCAACUUAUGGGAUAUAUUUAAAUUCAUCAUGGUAAAACUGCAGAGUUCCAUGGUUUAUGAAAAGGAUUUGAAUUUGCAACUUAAGAGAUCAUCCCUAAUAAAAGUUACUACAACGAGGCA